UACAGAGGUCCCGAGCGUUGUUCGGAUUCAUUGGGCGUAAAGGGCGUGUAGGAGGUUGGGUAAGUCGGAUGUGAAAUCUCACCGCUUAACGGUGAAAUGGCGUUCGAUACUGCUCAGCUAGAGGAUCGGAGGGGAGAGCGGAAUUCCUGGUGUAGCGGUGAAAUGCGCAGAUAUCAGGAGGAACACCGGUGGCGAAGGCGGGUCUCUGGGCCGAUACUGACGCUGAGGAGCGAAAGCGUGGGGAGCGAACAGG
rnacentral:rRNA from 1 species